GAUAAUUAUGUAUUUAAUUAUGUUAACUCGGUGCAGGGCAUAUCUAUCGAUAGUGGACAAUUGUUAAAUCUUAGUUCAAGUUGUUUAGUUUGAGGUAUUUUAACUUUUGAUCUUUUAUUGUAAGUUAACUGAUGUUCUCACGUAUUAUUUGUUUGUGUGCGCGAGAAAAUACACACACAAAUCGAAAGAGAUUGUUCCAUCUUCCCACAACUGCUGCGAUGUAGUAAAAUUUUAUUUUUCAGGUGCAUCCUUUUUGUCUUUCCAAUA
rnacentral:lncRNA from 1 species